GGGGAGUUAAACAUUCAAAUGGAGCAGAGCGAUGGUCCGCUGGUUCAUUUGCAAACGUGAGUCACGGCAUCAGAGCAUUUUUCUUAAUAUUUUUUUAGCAUUCAAUUAAAGCCCAUCACGUGAUGAGAGUGUCAUUCUAAGCAUCUUAAAUAGUAGAAAAACAAAAAAUGAGAGGCGGCGGGCGAUCCGUUCAAUGGGCAUGAGUCGAGAUGGGUCUUUCGACAUUACACGCGACUGGAAGUAUAUUCCGCUGGUUUACUCGCAAA
rnacentral:lncRNA from 1 species